GGCGUAUCAAACAAGCUUGUGCGUGCCUGCUAAGUCACUUCAGUCGUGGCCCGCCAGGUUCCUCUGUGCAUGGGAUUUCCCAGGCAAGAAUACUGGAGUGGUUGCCAUUUCCUUCUCCAGGGGAUCUUCCCAACCCAGGGAUUGAACCCACAUCUCUUAUGUCUCCUGCAUUGGCAAGGAGGUUCUUUAUGCCACUAGGUCCACCUGGGAAGCCCACUAAAUGAGCUAAGACUGCGGCAAAUUAACCCAGGAAAGCACACGCAUUCCCUAAUUGGAGAGGCCUUCCGCAAACACCCUCAGAGGCCCAGGCGCAAGCUUCCGCCGCCAGUCUGUCCGCUCUCAGGCCGGGGUAGGGGGACACGCGCGAGGUUCGGCUGUGCCCACGGUCCAGCCACUGCACAAGCCGGCCGUCUCCCAGAGUUCUGAGUAAUCGCCGGAAGCCCGGCCAGAAUCAAAGCGGACGCGAAGCAUCCACCCAGCUGGAAGAGCCGCCGCCGCCGGGGAAGCAGGAAUCUCCCAGAUACCCAGUGUGGGGGCGCUCCCGAGCCCUCGGGGUCCCCCGGCGGCCUCCUGGAGUCUGGAGCUCAGGCGGAGAGAUGCAGGGACGGCGGGAGGCCGGAGGCAGCCGUGGUCAGGGAAGCGAGGGGACCAGAAGGACCACCGGAGGUGUCCGGGCGGAAGGGCCGCGGGGCUGGGGUCGCCCCGGUCCCCGCCGCACCCUGGGGACCCCGGCCCGCUUGGUUUGGGCCUCAAAGACCUCCACUGAUGAAUGCUCUCUGUGAAGCAAACUGCACUUUUGCCUUCAACUUAUUAAAAAUGUUGGCUGAAGAGGACCACUCGUGACACGUGUUCUUCUCUCCGCUGAGCCUCUCCUUUGUCCUGACCAUGGUCUUAAUGGGGGCUGAGGGGAACACGGUGGCCCAGAUGUCCCAGAGCACCAAAGUUGUCUGGCCAUCUGGUCGACCUGUCGGCGGUGCUUGCCUGACUACAACCAAACAUAAACACAAAUCUGGAUCGCAGGGCAAAGAAGGCAGAGCACCACCACUCCGCACUCGUUUCUCUUACCUAAGCGUUCUCCCGUCCGCGCGCGUUCAGACGCCCUUCCAGGACUGCACACCGCACCAGGCUCGCGUCUCCUUGGUACCCUCAGCGGAGGGCCCGGGCCGCUUUCUGGGUCUCAAACAUUUGGCGCCUCUGACCACCGAUCCCGUGCAGGACUAAAGCAGCACAUUGGGCCACCUCCUUGCUCGCCCACCGCGUUCCCUCUUGUCACCCGUGGCGAGGGACUCGUGUGUGGUCCACACAACUUUCGAGCCCGUAAGGGGAACAGAAGAGACUACAGGCGGCCCCCGCGAAGACGCAGCACGGCUUCCGACGAACGCAGAGCUUGACACGACAGCGGCCGUCGGAGAGCAGCUCCCCCGCCGCCCAGCCCUGGUGCGGACCUGGGCCCCCAGGCGAUCAGGACGUGGGGUUGGGAGAGCCUAGUCUGGGGAUCGCGGUGCCGCUGGGAGGGCCGGGUGCGCAGCCCAGCGCCGCCUUGUUCCGCGUGUCCGGCCAGGCUCCACUCCGGGGAAGACGCCCGGGAUCCAGGGACGGCCGGCGUGAACCCUGCGCCGUCCGCCGACGGAGACACGGCUACUCCCAGCCGAGGCGGGAAAACAAAAAUACUGAUCCAGGACACCGCGCGGGGCACUUUACUCUCCUGGCUGCGAGCCGUACCCCAUGCAGCCCCGCGGGCGGAGGAAACGUCCGGAUCGCUGUCUAGCUUCUAAAGACACGGCCCGUGCUCGCCACGCAAGCCUGACCGUUCAGAGGGAGCAGGACGCGUCCAGGCCCGGAGACGGGGCCCAGGCGCGCCAGCCAACGAGCCCUGCGAGCCCAUACUCGGCCGGUCUGGCCAAGCACCAGAGCCUGGAGAGUGGGGACCCCGGAGGGAGACGAAGGCCCCUAACGGUGACCCAGGAGUUUGGCCGACGAGCCACAGGAACUCCGGCGCCGCAGACCCUUUCUCUGCUCGCUCCGAGGCCCCGCGGAUGGAAGACCGCGAGGAGCUGCUGGUCGACCAGAGCGAGCGACAACCCACCUGUAAGGCCGCAGCGCCGAACGCCCUAACGCCCGAGCUCGCCCGGGGCCUCUGCCUCGGAGGGGGCUCCCCGCUCGGGACAGCGCGACGCGGCUUCGCGGAGCGGCCCAGGCGGCAGACGAGGGCGGUCGGAGAGCGGAAGGCUGCGGCGGAGAGGCCCUCCCCGCGAGACUGCAGGGCCGCAGGCCAACCUGAGCAAGGGAGAUUCUGCAGGGGGCUGGGCUGUGUGAACUGUGAGCUGGAACAGUGAAAGUAAAACAGAAAGCAAGCAAGCACGGAAUACAUAUUAUUCUGUCAUUUCAGAGUUGAGAUGUUACUCAAGUACAAAAAUACAAGGCUCAGAAGCCAUAAAGGAAACGACUGAAAACUUGACUAUGUAAUUGGUCUUUUGGUCUUUACCAAGCAAAGGCAGGUGACAAGAAAUGGGUGUGAGAACGUUUGUGCGACUACAUAUAUAUUAAGAACGUUGGUAUCAGGAUUACAUAAUAACAGAAUGUAGAAAACACGGCAAGGGACCAGUUAAGUAAAUUUUCAGUGCAUUCACAUAACACAAGACUAUCACUUUGCUUUUUGGUUUAUUGCUGUUGUUUAAAUGAGUUAGAUCCAUAGGUAUUGACUUGGAAAGAUGUCGAUGGCAAACUGUCAAAUGAAAACAAAGUUUUAGCACUUACUACUGGAAGUGCUUUUUAAAAAAUGAAGCGGAAAAAUGAAGAGUUAGAAUAGCUAAAGCGGUUUUAAAGAGCAAGAAUCAAGUCUUCCCUGUAGCCUGGUGUCUGGACAGAAAGACGUGCCAGAAACAAAGAUGGGCCACACUACGUGCUUCUCUGCUCCCUCCUGCUGUAGUCUUGGGAAGGCAGCUGGCAUCUCAGCCCCUGCACCUCUCUGCUCCACUAACACUCAGAGCCCCUGCAGGCAAUCAGAACUCUGACUCUGCAGGCCUGGGGUCCCUAUGUCCACAGUCUCUUCCUUCAUGUCAGGAGCCUCGAGCAAUUCACUUGGUUUGCCCAAUCAUCCAUGCCCAGAGCUGCUGGCUCUAACAUACACCUGUGCAGUCCUUCUCUCCAUAAGCUUUGAGCUGAUAUCCCAAGGUAAGACCAUUCCCCUCACAAAACAGGUAUGAACCACGGGAACAACUGGAAGUUUGCACCUGGACCCAUUAUACAAACUCUGUGUGCACACUCUACUCCCAAAGACACUACCCUUUUCACUGUGCUGUUUGCAUGGUAUGGCCAUUGCUUACUAGAAGCAUCCAGACUCACUUAUGUGGCAGGAAGAAAUACUAAGUACAUACACACACAUGCACACACACCCAUGUACAAACACAGAGGCACACACACACCCCAGGAGCUUAUCUGGACUCCUGCUAGGGCUGGCAAUGGUGGGAGCAGAAAAGACAUCAUUGUUGCUGCUUCUCGGGUCCUCUGCACUGGCAGACCCUGGUUGCUUUGCUGACUUCACUGUGGAGAGUGAGGGCUUGGAGCGCCCUAGUCUGCAGUUUGCUGUCCAGCGCCCUGUGCUUUAUUCAGUCCACUCUACCCUCUCUCCUCAAUGCACAGUCACCAUUAAAAAUAAGAAUGGACACACAUUGAUUUCAAUUUUCAAACUUGAACAAAGUUUAAGAACAGAGAGAAAUUGGGUUAUUGUGAAGAAGGUAGUGAGGAAAUUUUAUUUAUCUUUUUUGCAGCUACCAAAAUGUUCAAAUAUAGUCUAUAAAAGCUUAAUAUUUUUUAAAACUAGGAAAAGUAAAUAAUCCCUCAUUACUCCUUCUUGCCCAUCACCAUCUCUGCCCCAGCUUGUGUCACAGUGGGCUCACCUGACGACAUGCCUGUUCUCCUGGUUUGGAGACUUCUUUCACACUCAUCACUAUCCUCUAUGCUCACUACACACCUGAGGCCACUGUAGCCAUCCACAUGGUAAAUCAGGGGAUUUUUCUCUAGUGAGCCUGAGGGUUGUAUUUUUUUUUUUUUUCUUCUAAUAGAAACCACUCCCAUCUGUCCUCUAAAGUCACAACCUUUAUGGAUCCUGUAACAAGUGGGUGUGAAUGACAGAAAGAGGCUAUUUCCAUAUCAGUCUCUGAGCUGCCAUAUGCCUAACAGAGUGGUGGAUGUUACUGGCAUUUAAUAUUUCCUGGGUGGUGUUAGAAGAUCCAGGCUGAAAGGAGAAACCGGACAAUUUGGCAAGACACAGAUCAAACCAGGAGCCAGAGCAAGUCCCUCUCAUUGUUUCAAGGUCAAGAACUCAGCCACCACUGUCCUUCUCUGCAUCCUCAUGCAGGACGGUUGAAACUGACCAGAUAAAGCUGAGGAGAUGGAAAGAAGUCAUGAGAUCCAAGCCUCUAAAGCCCUGCUAGAUACUCCAGGCAUGAGUCCCCAACCACUCACCUGGGUGUGACCCCUCCUACCAAACCACAGGCAUGCAGAGAUAUGGGGAACCCUCCUUUCUGGGGUCAAAGCACUAUGGGCUACUCGCCACAUAAACAACGUAGUAAUAUUUCCAUUUUACGC
rnacentral:lncRNA from 1 species